rnacentral:rRNA from 1 species
CCGGCGACCGGCGCACGGGUGAGUAACACGUAUGCAACCUGGCCGUGACAGAUGGAUAACCGGGAGAAAUCCCGCCUAAUACAGCAUGACGCCGGGAAGGGACAUCCCUUUCCGGCCAAAGGGGGCGACUCCGGUCACGGAUGGGCAUGCGGCGCAUUAGGUAGUUGGUGGGGCAACGGCUCACCAAGCCGACGAUGCGUAGGGGUUCUGAGAGGAAGGUCCCCCACAUUGGAACUGAGACACGGUCCAAACUCCUACGGAAGGCAGCAG